rnacentral:precursor_RNA from 10 species
GAGGAAUGCUGUUGAGAGACAACGAAGUUGACAUACUUCUCCACAGACCAUAGUGACAAUUGAUUUAUGGAAUGUAAAGAAGUAUGUGGCGUUCGUGUGCAACACUUCAGUCACCUAUG